CGGAAGUGCGCUGCUGCUGUCCCACAGAUCACUCACAUUCAUCAGGGUUUGGGGUUUGACGUGGUUUUUCUGGUUUUCAGUUAGGGUGUUGUGAUGCUCGGCAAACACGGCGUAGAUAUCUUAAUGAUUUUAGUUUGCUUGUUUUCAGAAGAAAGCAGCGGUUAGUCCGUUAAAAUGAGCACUCAGGACGUGUUAGAGAGCGCGUCCACUUUAGCGUCCUACAAUGUGCUGCUGCAGGUGAUAUUCCGUGUGCUCACCUUCUUGCUGAAUGCAUUUACACUCAGGUUUGUGUCCAAAGAGCUGAUCGGGGUGGUGAAUGUCAGGCUCACCCUGCUGUAUUCCACAUUAGUGUUCCUGUCCAGAGAGGCUUUCCGGAAAUCCUGCCUGAGCAGAGGACCUGGGACAGACAACAACUGGAGACAAAUUAUCAACCUGCUAUGGCUGACGUUGCCUCUUGGCGUGCUGUGGGCCUCCCUUCUGGUCUGUGUGUGGCUGUGGCUCCUGGAGGUACCAGAUCCACACUCUGUGCCUUACUACGGCCAGGCUGUGGCAUUGUUUGCCCUGUCAGGAGUGCAGGAGCUCCUGGCCGAGCCCCUCUGGGUCCUGGCCCAAGCGCACAUGUUUGUGCGCUUGAAGGUGGUUGCCGAGAGCGGAGCGAUGAUUGCUAAGUGCAGUGUCACGGUGGCACUGGUGGUGUGUGCCCAUGAGUGGGGCCUUUACAUCUUCUCUGCUGGUCAGUUGGUGUACACGGGAUUCCUGGUGCUGUGUUAUGCCGUGUACUUCCUUCAGUUCUUGGGUUCUGAAGAAGCAAAGAAGAAGAGUUUUCCUCUGCACAGUUUUGGUGAGCUGCUGCCCGGCAGAGCUGAUGGAGAGCCGCUGAUUGAUUGGACUCUGGGCCGGUUAACGUGGAGCUUCUUCAAGCAGUCCUUCCUGAAGCAGAUCCUGACAGAGGGUGAGCGCUACGUCAUGACCUUCCUGAACGUUCUCAGCUUUGGGGACCAGGGUGUUUAUGACAUCGUCAAUAAUCUUGGCUCCAUGGUGGCACGCUUCAUUUUCUUGCCCAUUGAGGAAAGCUUCUACAUCUUCUUUGCCAAAGUGUUGGAGAGAGGGCGCAGUGUCAGGAAACAGAAACAGGAAGAUGUUGGUGUUGCAGCAGAGGUCUUGGAGUGCUUGCUGAAACUGGUGGUGGUGAUUGGUCUGAUCAUCACAGUGUUUGGCUACGCCUAUUCGCACUUGGCUCUGGACGUUUAUGGCGGCUCUCUGCUGAGCAGUGGAGCAGGUCCCACUUUGCUGCGAUGUUACAGCUGUUACGUUCUCCUGCUCGCUGUAAAUGGUGUCACAGAGUGUUUUGUUUUUGCUGCAAUGAGCCAGCAUGAGGUCGACAAGUAUAAUGUGGUGAUGCUGGCGCUGUCGGUGUCUUUCCUCUUCCUGUCCUACGUGCUGACACGAUGGGCCGGGGGUGUUGGCUUCAUACUUGCCAACUGCCUCAACAUGGGCCUCCGCAUUUCACACAGUUUGUUUUACAUACACCGCUACUUCAGUUCCAGUCGGUGGAUGCCUCUGCGAGGCCUGCUGCCUUCUCCACUACUGAUGCUGAUGCUAGCCAUGAGCGCGGCCGUCACAGUGCUAUCUGAGGGUGUUUUCUGCUGUGGCAGCGGCUGGUUGUUCAGGUUGGUCCAUGUCACCAUGGGAGCUCUGUGUCUCCUCUGCGUGCUCGGAGCCGUUCUUCUUACAGAGACUCAGCUCAUUCAGUUUGUCAGGACACGACUUUUACCACAGUACAGAAAGAAACGGUCUUAAAAGGACAAGAAACAUGGAGCUGGACGCGAUGAAGCCAACUCUUCAAAAACUAUAAAUGGAUGUUACAACACCUACUGGCUGAUGUGCUCAGGUUGGAGUCAUGGUGAUGCAGUGCUCUGAAUCAUUCCUGCUUUGCAGCGGGCCAAGAGAAAAAGCAGCAACAGAAAGGAGGAGGAGAAUACUGGCCCACUACGUCACACAGAUUUAGCAUCCACAACUGAAUCUCUGCAGGAGUGAGUGCAUAUAAACGUGUGUUCAGC